UACGUAGGUGGCGAGCGUUAUCCGGAAUUACUGGGCGUAAAGCGCACGCAGGCGGUUUCUUAAGUUUGACGUGAAAACUCCUGGCUUAACUGGGAGAGGUCGUUGAAGACUGGGGAACUUGAGGCAAUGAGAGGGAUGUAGAAUUCACGGUGUAGUGGUGGAAUGCGUAGAUAUCGUGAGGAAUACCAGUGGCGAAAGCGGCUAACUGGUCCAGUACUGACGCUGAGGUGCGAAAGCGUGGGGAGCAAACAGG
rnacentral:rRNA from 1 species